UCUUCGGCAAUGGGCGCAAGCCUGACCGAGCGACGCCGCGUGGAGGAUGAAGGCCUUCGGGUUGUAAACUCCUGUCGAGGGGGAAAAAGGGCUGCAAGGCCUUGAUUGAUCCCUGGAGGAAGCACGGGCUAAGUUCGUGCCAGCAGCCGCGGUAAGACGAACCGUGCGAACGUUAUUCGGAAUCACUGGGCUUAAAGCGCGUGUAGGCGGGUUCGUACGUCCGUCGCUGAAAUCCCCCGGCUCAACCGGGGAACGGGCGUGGAUACGGCGGACCUGGAGGGGCGUAGGGGGACCUGGAACUUCCGGUGGAGCGGUGAAAUGCGUUGAGAUCGGAAGGAACGCCCGUGGCGAAAGCGAGGUCCUGGACGCCUACUGACGCUGAGACGCGAAAGCCAGGGGAGCGAACGGG
rnacentral:rRNA from 1 species